UACAAUAAAAAAUAGACCAAUACAUAACAUGUUAACAAAGUUAGCCUGGUUUUGUUUGGAAAUUUGGAAAAAAUUUAUUAUGGAAUUUUUCCAAGAAAGCAAGGUUUGUAAAUUAUUAAGUAAAUUACAGUAGUUUGGUCAUUCCCGAUCAUUCUGGUCAGCCUAUCUUACCCAUAUUGAUCUGUCAGGCUCAUUUCCCCAUCUUCAUUUGAGGUUAGGAUAAGGAAGUUUGUUUAAGUAUUUUCUUACUUGAGAUGGUUACAAAUAAAUAGUGAUGACUGAGGAUAGGUCCGUUGAUAGUGGUGAAUUGUAUGGAUGGUUAAAAAUGGUAAAAGUGGAGUUUGUAGAAAACUAGAUAUUUUUUAAACUACAUCCACACAUAAUAAUUGAAGAUGGUGAAUAUGACAUACAAAAAUAGUAAGUACACAUGAUCAUAAAUUACCAAAUUUUCUAAUUUAAUACAAUUUAAAACAUCUUCAUGAACAGUUUUACACUAACGUGUUCGUAUCUACCUCCUUAGUGUUUUCCGGCGUCGUUGCUAAGAAAAGUCCAAAAAGACCGGAAUCAGAGUGAGAAAAGUUGACAGCCUGGGCGU